rnacentral:lncRNA from 1 species
GAAUUGGCUUGUUCCUCCCCCUGUAGUCAUCUUCUGGGUAUUCCAGCCUAUCUCUCCGCAUGUGAUCAGAAAACCGGCCUUCAUGUCGAGGAGGUGGCAGAACACCAGGCCCAAAAUCUCUAGGUCCAUCCCUGGCCCAACCCCGAGGAGGGGACCUAUAGCCAUUCACAGUCCUGCCAGGGGAAAUAGCUAUAGGAGGCCCAGGGAAUCGCCGAGGGGGAGGAGGUGGAGGUGGAGGACCAGGGUAGCCCCUCCUCGGACUACCACCAGGGGCGUAGCGGAACCUCUUACAGUUGUUACAGU